GCCCCAGUAGCUCAGGGGAUAGAGCACUGGCCUCCGGAGCCGGGUGCGCAGGUUCGAAUCCUGCCUGGGGCA
rnacentral:tRNA from 1 species